GGGAGGAAACUGCGAAAAGAGAGAGAGAGAGAGAGAGAGAGAGAGACAGGGGGACAAAGAAGGACCAAUUUGAUUGACGUUGAAGUGUAGGUGCAGCUUUUCGGUCGUCCUAUCUUCCUCUCUUCCUUUCCCUCUCCCCUCUCCCCUUCACUCUUUUCAUCUCGGCUCCUCGGCCUACGGUGAAGCUUUGCCACAGAGCCGCGGUAUGUCCGGCCCACGUGAGAGGCCGAGGAUCAGAGGGCUGCUGCGCCGCUCGCCGGGUCCGACCAAGCGUCCGUGAUCUAUUCUGAGACCGGCUUAUGGUCGCAACAUCCAUCAAAAAUCAAUUAGGGCGUAGGUGCAAAGGUAACUAAGUCCUCUUAAUGCAGCCAGUGGUCAACAGAACAGGGACUCAUUUAAUGGCCAUAAAAAGGGGUCAAGGAAAGGUUGUGGUUUUAAGAAGAUUUAUUUUAAGGCCUUGUUGUUUCACAAGUCGAACAUUGUACGACUUCUUCAAAUGUUCCUCAGACUCAUUAUUCACUACAGUAAUAGGUAUGCACACAGUUCACACACACACACACACACACACACACACACGCUCUCUGGUGUGUGUUGCGAUUCCUCUUCUGUGUCAGUGUCAGAGCCAGCAAUGUUUCUGCCUGUCAGCCAGCGGGGCUGUCGGUUACUGGUUAUAUUUAGCUACAUGGUCUCCAGUGAACAAAGUGCAGUUACUCAAGAGUAAGUGUGUGUGUGUGUGUGUGUGUGUGUGUGUGUGUGUGUGUGUGUGUGUGUGUGUGUGUGUGUGUGUGUGUGUGUGUGCAUGUGUAUGUGUGUUCGCACGCGGACGUAGUUGUAUAUUACGUUAUCAUCCACACUAAAUACAACCACAUAAUCACAGUGUUUAUGGGUGAAUUAAAACCUAAACCUCAAACUAACUCAUGUGAAUUCAGAUAGUCUGAUAUAUGUGUGCGUGAGUGUGUGUGUUGGGGAGGUUGUGUGUCGUAAUCAGGGGUAACAUCACCAAGCUUAACAAAAACAAAACUGAUUAAACAUUUAGUUUUGAAUUGAAUUUUACACAAUAGUAAUAUUACUGAAAGUUUCUGUAGUUUGACUGAAUUCAUGUAGCUGCAAAAAUAAGUUUGCUACCUUCAAACCGCUUCCAAAUUCACCCCUCAUGAAUGCUGGUCCUGUUCAUUCAUUUAACUGAACACACAAACACGCGGUUACUUUCAAUCCUCCAACAACAUUACCAUUUAUGAAAACACAGUUUAUCCGUAAUGUUGGGGAACAUUGGUCCUGGCGAUUACAGUGUCUACUGACAGCUGUGUUCUACCAGUAAUUAGCAAAAACAAAUCUUAUUGGACAACUUGCAUCGCUAACGGCGAUUAAGGCCACCGGGACUGUUGGGGGAGACCUUUUAUCCCACCAAUACAAAUAUUCAAAAACCUGUUUCCCCGAUUGCACGCGGAAACGCCUGAACGUAUGCGUAUGCGUGUUUGGGGAAACCGCUUGCACGGCGGGACUCACAUCCUGCAUGUCGACGCCGGGCGUGGUCAGCACGCGCAUGCAUGUACGCACAGGCCGCACAACUGUGGAUACACGUUGGUCUUCCUCACAAUCUGACACCUGCCGCUGCUGUUGCAGAAUAAUCACUGCCCAUUUAUGGCCAUUAUUGUUAUAUAGGACAAGACUUGUUGGCCUCACGAGUCCACGGGUUCCUUUAAGUAGUGGCUCUGAAAAGGCACCGCAAACAUAAAUACAUGUUUGUUUCAGAGUUUAUCAAGGUAACAUAUCAAGUGAGAGGAAGAGCCGUUAUACCACUGUGUCUUUUCCAUGCCACGUUUGAAUGUUUUUCUCAGUCACUUCAUCUUUUCAACACCACAAUGCCCAGACCAUAUCCUCAAAUCGAGUACGGUCAUUCUUUUUUCUUCCCCCCCCCCGAGCGCGUGAAGCCGGUGCAGGCGAUUCUAUUUCGGUGGUGCGAAGGCUUGCCACCUCUAAGCCGCUGUCUAUGUAUAGAGCACAGCGAACCAGGGCGCGGGGCGCCGACGCGGAGUCAACGGGAAUCACGCGGCCCCUCCAGGCGCGGAGGCCGCGACUCAAAAAGACGAGAAGAAAAGAAUGGUCGCACACAAGGAGUUUGUCUCUUGAGAUGAGAGGGGAACACUUGUCAGUGUCCUUCUGAUAAAAGCCAAUGAAUGGAGCCGACCCCCCUCCCGCCCCCCCUCACCCCUGCUGAGGAAGAGGUCGCCGUUUAUUGAGCUUCGCCUAGAACGUGGAGCGCCCCGUAAAAAGAGCUGCUGCGCCCCUGGACAAUAAAUCAGACAUGGCCGCCGCCGCCAGCUGGUGGAGAAGCUGUGUCCUUUUCACGUGACGCACCUGGCGACGCCCCGACGCGCUCGUGCUCUUGGGAGUUCAACGAGCGUUCAAUGAAUGCUGAUCUUUAAAUAAGUGGUGUUAUUAAUCAGCCGUGGCAUCAUCGCAAAAUAAUCUAGCGAGCGUUCGUGGAAUUGAAAGAAGUUCUCACUCGGUGACUCAUGUGUUAUUACAAUGGGAGCUCUAUGUCCCGGUGAAUUAAGCUAUAUCAAUAUUUGUGUGCACAGGUAGUACUUACCGUCUAAAUAAAGUCAAGUCGCCGUUGGUUUAGUUGGUUUAGUUGGUUUAGUUGACAAAAAGAAGGAUAUCACCGAGAGGCGGAUGAUUUGGUUUAACCUUUCCAUGCUCUUUUUGUGUUGCCACUCAUGCCAACAAUGAAAGCAAUAUUAACACAUUCUCGAGAUCAUUUGUCACCGUGUGUUAUAAUAACAAUUGUGACAACCGUAAUCUCUCGUUCUGCCUGUAUCUUUCCUCUGAAUAACAACUUGUUUACUGCGAUAGUUUUGAUUUGCUCCAUCGGUUUCAGAGUGUGCUGCUCCAUGACCACCAUCCCUCUCAUCUUCUUCCCACAUCUCUCACCUCCCAGAAUACAUUGCUGCCUCUCUGUGACGUUAUGUGCGUCUGUGUGCGUCUGUGUGUGUGUGUGUGUGUGUGUGUGUACGCCUGUGUAACAUCACCUCGGCCCCUUCAUGGCAGAUGCCACAUUCUAAGUGUAUCUGUGAAGUACGAGAAAGUCUCUUUGUGUGCAUGCAUGUGUGUAUGGACGUGUCUCUGUGUGUGCGUGUGUGUGCGUGUGUGUGUGUGUGUGUGUGUGGGGAGGAUGGGGGGGGGGGGCUUCCGGGAACUUUUACCCUGGACCAAGUCGAGCCUCUUCUUUAAAUGAAUUGCGUUGCAAUAUGUUGCAGCAUAUGUCCAAACUAUUGUACAUAUAUGAUUCAGUCUUUGUACGUUGAUAUUUACUGUGUGAGUUUACAUUGUAAUUUAGUAUUUAAUAUCAAGAUAAUCAGAUAACCCAGUUAGGAUUCACUUUGAUUCCCAUUAGUCAUCAGAAAAUAUUAGAUUUCAACAUAUGCAAUUACCUAUUUUGGAAUUCGGUACGUUGUGUUGGGCUUUGUAGUUAUUUCAAUGUCAUAUGACCUUUCUGACUUUUGGUACCUUUUGGCUCAAAGAGAAGCACUGGUGUCGUUUGUCAGCUGCUGUUGUCCAACUUCACAUCUGAAUUCUCGUCAUUGUGGGUGUUAUUCCAGCAUUUGACAUUAAUCAAUUUGGAUUUUUGAAAUUCAUUUUUAUUUCAAAUGCUACCGUCUACUUGUACUGUGGUGGAAAGGUGGACGAGUGGCCCCGAACCCACUUUCAAAUGUGCCAACGUAUGAGUGAACCAGAUGGUGCUUAUAAAGGGAACUGUUUUGUAUCUUCCUUUUCACUUCACCUCCGGCCCGCUUCCAUUUCUUGUCUUCUUGACUGUCUUCAAUUCUUGCCUCACAGGGGAAGUGUGUGUUUUUAUUUUUAUUUCAGACAGCCGGCUCGACUUGAAUCUGAAACAGCUUUUCUUACUGGAAUAGAGUCCAAUUGGCUGCCGUUUGUGUUCUUCCGCGUGCUGAAACGUGAAAGGACUUUGAGGUUGUGAGAGUGUGCAAAAAAAAAGAGCCAUGACAAAUGGGACCAGAGCAAACUUUAGAACCCACCAGAUAAAAACAAUUACACACACACACACAGACACACACUAGUCUCUCUGUCUCUGUCUCUUCCAUUAAUCCAAAAUGAUUGUGUCACAGUGGGAAUCACUUUCCAAUCUAGACUUAAAUCCUAUUUCUAAGUAAAAAGACGGGACGCUGUUUCUCAAGCCAAAAAAAGAUUAUCCUAAAAACCUUAAUACUCAUGACGUAAUCACUGGCUGCAGCGUUAGGACGAGAGUGUGAUGUCACACUUUUGUUCCUCAUCCACUUGUCCCAGUUGCACGUGCCAAGAAAGACCCCCCUCCCCACACCCACCCCUCCUACCACUCCAGUGCUGAGCCUCGCCUGCUGGGACAUUAUAACUCACUUCUACCCAUAUAAUUAAAAAUGCACACCAGAUUUACUUGACUGUGUAUACACACCCAGCUCACAAAAACGCAUGUAGCUGUUUUUUUCUUAAAAUCACAGCAAUAGACGUGCACAAUGUUGUAAACAUGUAAUGCUAGAGGCCUGUGGGACAUCCAUCUUGUCAUUUCAUUCUUGUAAUUUACAAAAACAGGGAGAGGAACUUGUGGAAUCCAGGAGAAUAAGAGCAAUCUCACCCAGAGAGCGUGACCUCCCGAGCUUGUUGGACCGCAUUGCGUGCGUGUGUUUCUGCUUCUGCUCAGUCUCACGUGGACCCUCGGGAGCGAUUGCGCUGUGCGUCUGUCCAACGUGCACGCCGAGCAUUCCACCAUUGUGUUUUCGGUGAAUGCGGCAGAACGCUGGAGCUGUGUGAGGUCAUCUGUGAUUUUCCAACGUGUUGAAAGGGAGAAGGGGCAGCAGGGCAGGAAGAAGGAGCGUGCGGGAGGUGGGGCGAGGUUCUGUCUUACCUCAUCCGGACUCGCCGGCUGACGCCCCCCCCCCGACCUCCCCCACCUCCCCCGGUGCCUUCGGUGCUCAUGGGACGAUUGUUGAUCUCCACACAAUGAGAUCACGGCAACAGCGGAACAAAGGCUCUCUGUCAUGAAUUGUCCUCUGUGUGAAAGCCCGAAGGCGUUUCUGUUGUCAUUAUCGUUGGAUUUGAAAAUUUAUCAGAUAUUCUACGAUGGAAAUGUUUAGAAGGUCGUCUUUAAUCUCUAUCAUCUCUAUUUUAAACUCUUUUAUUUUCUAUGGCCACUACUUUAACAAGCAGCUGUCCCUGCUUGGAUUUUAAAACUUCCUCAGAACUGUAUACGUAACAUUUUAUUACAGCUUUCAGUGCAAACAUAUACAUCAUCUUUAGGAGCCUCCAGGAGCCAAAAUAAAGAGAAGUCCUGUCUGAGGUUAAGUAGUCGUACCUUUAUGUUUGUGUGAGUGUGCGUUGCUGGAAUAAAUGUGUACACUUUAAACUCCUCGGUGAAAAUACACAGCAAUAACUUCUCAUACAAAUAGUUAUUCACCUCUUCUCAGGGCCAUACACACACACACACAGACUCUAAGUCACUGGAUACCAUUAAAAACCAGUGCAUUUAUGGUCCCCAGAGGAUGAAUUGUAAUGACUUUGACUUCCUGACUGCCUUCAUUAAGCGCAAUCAUCAAGUCAAAACGUAUGACCAACAGCCUCAGCUGCACAUGUUCACACACUAGACUAAGAUGACACGAGAAACAUUUGCAUUGUGUGACUUGUUAGCUAUGCGAUGGUUUACCGCUCUGCCAAACCGUCUGACGGUGGUUUAAAACUAAUGGUGAAUGGAUUUGAAUCAGAGUACCUAAAGGGAUAGUUGGCAUGUGAAUCCACUGUGUGCGGGUGAAUUCCUCACUUGCCACCGGACGUUGAUGGCUUCGUCGCAGUGGAAAAAAACCUCCAUCGCGGCGAUUAAACCCUUCGUCCUCCAGCGGCGGUACAGUCGUGCGGUUAUCGGAAAUGACACGAGCGGCUGUUGAAGUAGCUUUGAUCGGAGAGAGAGCUCUGAGAGCCGCGUUGAUCGUUGCCACAUUGCCACAGCAACAAUGGCUCUUGUUGUUACCAGGUAGCCAGACUGGGAUUUAAGUCCUUCACUGUGAUGACAGUGUGUGAACCUCAGCUAUGCGCUGAACAUCUGAUAUCCCCGUACCGCCCUCACUGUUAUUACAGAGAAUAUUAUCUUGCUUUUUAUCACUGUGGUAAAUUAACUUCCCUUAACUUCACAAAAGACAGGGACACUGUAUGUUUCCGCUGUGUGCGUUUGCGUGCCAGUGACACGAGAGUGUUGCAGCAUCACUGGCAUGUACAGGUACAUCUUGAGAUAUGUAGGUCGGUAUGCGUGUGUGCACAUGUUCAAACAGUCAAAAACAGUCAGGGCGUUCCUUUGGCUUAUCCACAUUACGUGCAUCAGGCACACUUCUGUUGCCUCUGUGAUCAAAUACAUGCACAAAGCAACAGAGUCAAGCGUGUGUGUGUGUGUGUGUGUGUGUGUGUGUGUGUGUGUGUGUGUGUGUGUGUGUGUGGACUGGCUGGUAGAACCGGAGUCCCAGGUGCAGGUGACUGUUGUGUACCGCCACCUGUCACGUCCUGCGUAAACAACGUGCUGGCAGGGAUUGAAAUCCUACACCGCCGCGCAGCCGUCGAUCGGACGUCUCAUGCACAGACGCGGCGUGCAAACGCGCAUUCGAUUUGGGAUGCAGCUUUGGCACAAAACAGCGGAAUUCUUGGAACUUGGGAAGCGGGUAAUGCCCACACGCACACCAACACAGAGGAAGGAAGUGCGUGCGUGUGUGUGUGUGUGUGUGUGUGUGGGUGGGUGCGUGCGUGUGUGCUCUGGAUGUCGAUGAAGGCCGAGUCAUUAGAGCGUGCAGAAGAAAUGGCCUGCGAUAUCGCACAUGGCUGAGGGCCGGGGGCUUGAAUGCCUGAGACUUGAGCUUCGCCUCAUCCGUUGCUACUUUUUCCUCCUUUUUUUUUUUUUUUCUUCAAACGCCGGCAGUGAAAGAGAUACCGUUCUCUCAUUGGACCUCUUCACGCCACACCUCAGCCCCCUCAGGCACCGCUCCAAAAACACAGGCGCACAAACUGUGCUGGACAGCUAUUUACAGUACAGUAUAAAACGUGUACACACACACACACACACGCUCGCAUCCUGCAGCAGGGUGCCCCUUCCACUCUCCUCCCGCCAUGUUUGUUUUGGACACACUGGCCCUCUCUCUAAUGUUGUGGCAAUCUGACUUUAAGGAUCAAUCACUGAUAAUUACGCCAAACUGCAAACAUUGUCGGGACACCGUUGUGUAAUCAGGGCGGUUGUUACUCUGAGGCUACAUGACUCGUGAAUGUAACUAUCUACCAGUUGUGUUGUUGUAUUUGAUGCUUCAUUGAGUUUGGGGCUUAUACAUGAUAGUAUACUUAUACCUGUAGUAUGAAAAACACACACACACACACACACACACAAAACCAAAACGAGUAACAGUGAUUUUGAUGUGACAUUAUGUGAGAUGCCGUGUGUCAGGUAACCACGGCUGAACGAUCCACAAUCCCUUCUUCGCUCCGCAUUGAAUGAAAGAAGUCGAACAAAAACAACAGGAUAUUUUUCCACGAUCGAAACAUUUCGACCUUAAAGUACGUUUGUUCUCAGCCGUCCUGGUGAAUGCUGCGCUGCAGCCUCUGGUAAAAGAGUAUUCCUAGUCUUUAUUGCUGUGAAACACUUGAACUAUCUCACGAUCUGAACCUUGUUUCAUGCUUAUUUCCCUCUUGUAAUGACCCGUGUGCUGCUGCUCUGGAGACAACAUUCCUUCAGAGGGAAGGUCUGCAACCGGCUCCCACAUGAGCAAACAUCUGCACCCCUGAGGGGUCCUUGAGCAACUCACUGUUCUCCUGAAGGGUGGCAGCCAGAAGACAGCAUGACGUCGUACCACUUGGAUACGUCGGAUUCAUUGCCGAAACUUACCUGGUAUUCAUUUGUUUUUUCAAGUAAAGAGUAAAUUCCAUUAUGUCAAACGGCAGAAAGCAACACAAAGAAUUCCAGAUAUCGCUACCGUGUUCUUACCCACAAAGACUCUUUGACAUCGCAUCGUGCCCUUUCCAAACAUGCCUUCCCUGGGAUAAAAUCUUUCAGCAAACACUCAACAAUGACUAGAGUAUUUUUACAACUCCACAAAUCAUCCUGGAAGGAGGCGGGGGCCCUUUUUUACAAGCCAUUGUGUGAAGCAACCAUCGUUACCAUUGUACGUGUGCGUAUGUGUGUGUGUGUUUAGUUGGUAAGUAAUGGGAAUCCACUGGUUUCCUAAUAUAUAUUUUCGAACAGCUCGCAGAGUAAUUUUCUUAAAGAAAAAAAGUGUGUAAACUGGAUUUGAUGUGCAUGAAAAUACCACCCAGCUGCAGACAUACAUUCUAGUUUGGACAUAUCAACAAAUGCUUGCUUCUGUUGUGGAUGAAGUUAAGAGAAUCUGCGACACGGGUGAAAAGCAGUUGCCUUUUGCCUUUAAAUUGAAGCACGAAGUCAAGAUUAAAUCCUCCGUCAUUAUAAUCAGCCUCAGACGACGUCUGACUGAGCUGCAUAUUCAAGAGAUUUGCAUUUGCUAGGAGGCCGCGUGGUAACUAAGGCUGCUCGUACUUAUCAUUCCUGCUUGUCGGCGCUGAAGUUAAGCGAAGUGGCGACCUCGGACACGAGUAACAACGCGUCUGUUUGCGUGUGUGUUUUGGUAGCGUUUCCAUGGCCGGACGCACCGACGGGGCACGUGUUCUCGAAGGUAUUUAGCAUGCCAAAGGAGGCUAUAACAGUGCACGGCACAUGUCAAGCUCUUAUUCGGCAGGCUCUGAUGUCGUCUGAGGAGAACCAGGUGUUUAUGGGCUCUCCUUUCACACGUGGGCACACACGCAAACUACACACCGCCGGCACCUGCAGCUGAUGUCAAAGGGAUUUGAAAACCGGAUUGAAACCAAACCGUGUGCUUAGUCAUCUAAAUCAAAGUACUGGAGGUAAAAGCGCGCUUGACAUUUGUCUUGAGAUUGAUUUGAAUUGAUUGAUUGAAACUCUGCCGGUUGAAUCUUUGAAAAGAUGCCACGAGGUCCAGCUGGUGGAGACAUGUGCGAGAAUCUAUUUCCCCAUGUGUUCAUGGUCAGGAACGCAGGAGCGCCGACUGAUAUCAGAUCACUACCACUUCUUCUCUCCCUCGCACAGACCACUCAAAUGCACGCACAAAGACACACAACCACAACAUGCUGGAAUGGAGCAGUUACUCUCUACCUGUAUGUGUCAAAUCACUGUGUUUUGAAGAAAUGAAGACCAAUGACAUCACUUUAAAAAAGUGGGUCUAAUCACAUUUUAUAUGUCAGAGAAAACCGAUAAAGGCCGAAAAAUAUAGUGCGGAACUUUUGUGUUCAGGUUUUCUUUCAACAGGCGUGAAAUUAAAGCUUGAUGCCUUUCUGUGCGAUGGCUCCUUUCCAAUCAUCAUUUCUCAAAUGCACAAUUUAAAUAUUUCAUGCACGUUCAAGUUAUCAUUGGGCUACGCGGAAGAUGGAUGAAUCAGCCGGGGAAAGUCUCUGGUAGGCUUGUUAACAAAAAUCCAUAUCUCUGUUUGCUCAUAAAUCUCACACACACACACACACGCACACACACACACACACACACACACACACACACACACACGCACAUGGAGUUUUGUGUACAUCCUGCCCGGCAUUACUGAGGCUUCCAUCCUAUCUGUGCAACAGCUCGCCCUCCAUUGGAUGAAAGUGGGAGGAUAAAAAAGGCAAAGCGAGGACCAGCAAAUAGACAGAUGGAAGAUGUAAAGAGGGAGAACACACUGUCUCUCAUUAAGCCUUUCUAUCUGUUUCUCCAAGCCGAAUGGGGGAGGCAGAGACAAGAAGGAAAGCGAUGGUUUAUGUGAUUUUAAACAGUAGAAGUGAGUGGAAGAAGGGUCAAAGGGUGAAAAAGGACCCGGACGUGAUGUAACAGAAGAAUUGCGAUGAGGGUUCGGUUAGUUGUGUUAAAAGGACUCAGCGGGAUCGGGUUUGUUAGAGAAACUAAAAAUAAUGGCUAAACAGCUUUGGGUUUUGCUUAUUUACUCAUUGGCGUUUGUUGUUUCUGUGACCAUGGAAAACCAAAAGGUAAAGAUCAGCAUCAUCUUCAGAUGAGAUUACGUAACAUCUGGCUUGAAGAAUAAAAAGCGACGCACACGGCAAGUUAAGGUUUUCACUGUCGAGCCGGCUUUACUAAUUACAGCCCAGUCAGCAGGACGGUGGAUGGCCAAAGGGCAGAGAUCAAGGGUCAGUUGUAAGACCACUGCAUGUGUGAGUCAUGACACAAAUGGUGCAUGUGUGUAUGUGUGUGUGUAGGUAACAGCCUCGUCCCUGUUUUUCUUCUUGCAUGUCAAAGUUCACCCAAUAAGUGUAUUGACUCUGACUCACUUAGUUCGAUGCUGUGUGCACGUGUUGAGUUGUAUCCGCUGUUUGCAUCUCUAUUAACAUAAUGGGUCUUUUCACUUGCAUGUCCCCCCACCCACCUCCCCUCCCCCACGUCCCCCCGUCCUCUCAUCAGCCCACAGGUUGACAUUUACAUACAGACAAAUAACCUGAAGCGCAGCGGUAUGAGGACUGAACCGUCUCCCUAAAACAAACAAGUGCCAAACAAGUACAAGAGGUGUGACGCUCUGCUGGCACUCAGAGGUCAAUUCAAUCCUCACUUCUUGUGUACCUGUAGGGGCCACCAGCGAAAAAAAAGAAAACCCAAGUGCAUCUCUAACCUCAAGAAGUGUUCAGCUGUAACAUAUAGAUACGCUCUAACUUCCCGUCAGCACGCUGCAGAAUUUAAUAAGGAAAGCCACUGCGGCAGGAAGCAAUGUGAGUCAUUUCUUAAAAAACACACAUAACGCUCUUAGUUGCAGGCAACAGAACGGGCAUGUGUGAGGUAAGUCGUGAGUCGGACGCGGUUCUGCUGCCAGUCACGUCAGCAGGAGGAAACGCGACGGGUGUCUCUGCCCGGGGGGCCUCAACCUCGUCUUUGUGUCACUAUCGGUUUCUCUUCAUCUGCUUCUCCGCUUCCUUCGUGCUGCCUCACCCUAAAUGGCAGCUACAUAAAACAGGCAGAGGGAGCUUUUUGGAGAAAAAAAAAACAGCAACAAAGGAACCGAAGAGGAGCUGAAACAGACGGACGGAGCAAUGGAGGGACGGACCAACGGUAAAAAAAAAAAGUAAUUAGAAGAAAACCAGAGCUCCACUCCUAGUUGGGCCUCUUUUCCUAUUGGCCUUGAUGGCAACCAAUAGGAGCGCAGGGGAGGAGCACUUCCUGUUAGGUCAAGGGGGGAGGGAAGGGCGCUGGGGGGCUCCCAUGUGGUCUGGUGUAUAUUUGCGUGUGUCUAUGUGCAAUUAAAUGUGAACCGACUUGUGGUUUUUUGGGGGGCACAUCGGGGGCACAAAUGUACUUAAAUCCGUGGAUGUGGAGCAACACAUUCAAGUGUGUUGUAACUGUGUGUGCGGAGCGGUUGUGGGUGCGUGUACGUUGUGUGAUGGCCUUGGGUUUUGCAUCAGUGAAAUUCAGGAAUGGAAGUUUUACAUGCGUUAAGUCUAUGAAUACCACAUGUCCACAAUAAACACUGUGAGGAGAACUUCUGUCUACAGGGGUAAAGUUAAUUUACCCAGGUCAGCACUGGAGUCACAUUCUAUAUUAUCAUAAUAUUGUAUUGUAAUAUUGUAAUUAAACCUGGUUCAAGUGAA